rnacentral:rRNA from 1 species
UACGAGGUGCUGCAUGGUUGUCGUCAGCUCGUGCCGUGAGGUGUCAGGUUAAGUCCUAUAACGAGCGCAACCCCUUACUUCUAGUUGCCAGCACGUUAAAGGCGGGGACUCUAGAGGAACUGCCGGCGCAAGCCGAGAGGAAGGUGGGGAUGACGUCAAAUCAGCACGGCCCUUAUGUCCAGGGCGACACACGUGCUACAAUGGCCGAUACAGAGGGCAGCUACCUGGUGACAGGAUGCGAAUCUCGAAAGUCGGUCUCAGUUCGGAUCGGAGUCUGAAACUCGACUCCGUGAAGUUGGAUUCGCUAGUAAUCGCGCAUCAGCCAUGGCGCGGUGAAUACGUUCCCGGGCCUUGUACACACCGCCCGUCAAGCCAUGGAAGUUGGGGGUACCUAAAGUCCGUAACCGCAAGGAGCGGCCUAGGGUAAAACCGAUAACUAGGGCU